ensembl:lncRNA
GAGGGGGUAUGGAGAAGAAAAUAAACUGAACUAGCCAGACUAGUUACCAUCAUUUUCUCACAUUGCCAUUGACAGUUUUUUAUAUUGUCUCUUUUUGGUCCAUUUAGAUUGUUAUUGUAGAUUGUAUACAAAGACAUUUUAAAAAUUGUCAUAUCAGAGAGCACACAAUGUUUCAAUAUAUCACUUUUUUCCUAAAGGUCAGUAUCCUGUCUAGCAUGCCAGAAGUUUGAGAAGGCAAAGACUGGCACCGGAGUUGAAGCCCAUCAAAGUUGUUUCAACAUGGCACAUGAUCGGUAAGUGAUCCAAUUAAAAUUUUGCCCUGAUAAGUUGUUUUGUAAUGGUUACUUUAUUUGGCAGUUCAAUAUCAUAGAAUGUGUGUGUCAGUAUCCUUACAAUUACAAAAAUCUGCACACUGUAUGACAGAUAUGGGUAAGAAUAAGGUCAUCUUCUCUCUAACAUUUUAAAUGUUAGGGGUGGACCUCAUCGGACCCUUCACGAAAUCCAGGAAUGGCAUCAGCUGGUGUCUGACGGUGACCGAUCACUUUACCAAGUCAGUGGAGGCGAUACCCAUUAAGGUCAGUAAAGGAAGAGUACGUGCUUAACUCUCAAUUCCCUUCUGUAACCCAUUAAAAAGGGUGCUUGAAACCAAAAAUACAUUUUUGUUUUGUAUGAUACCCAUCAAGGACGAGACUAGCGAGGCCACCUCCAAGGCGAUGGUGGACACCCACAGUUCUCCUGAGGUCAUGACUUUGGUCUCCUGACUGAGGUCAUGAACGGUGGAACAAGGUUUGGGAAAUGGACCAACCAGACCCUCAAGACUGCCAUGGGCAAGCCCCUUGAUACCAGGAAGGGUGGGAGAACAACCUGAAGGUAAUUCUCUUUGCACACAACAGCAGACGGGAGCCGCAGCUGUUGACUGAGGUAAACAAUGCAAUUGUAUAUACAAUUAUUGCAUAUACUGUAGUAUUUCAAAUUUGUGGUUGACUUAGUGUUGUUGUUUGUCUAUUGCUAUUUUUGUAUAACGAUCUUUCAGACCACUGAAACCCCACCUGAAGUGGGGGAAGUUGUCAAACCAGAUCAGAACGCCUUCGAGGACCACCUUCAGGCACGGACUGAGAAGGAAGUGGAGGUUUUUGACCAGCAGCUAGAGGUUCUGCCCAACACCCAGACGUGGACCCACCUGAUGUCCCCCAUUACCAACCAUCCUCCAACUUUUCUUUACAUCAUCUACACUGUUGUUGUCAUUAUCCGCUAAGAAAGUUUCCUUGCUCUAUCAUACUGGACACAUAAUAUGUGAGAUACACAGAUGAACUAAAAACACUAGCACUGUAAACACACAGAACAAAGAGAGCAGCAGUGCCUGGACUUUGCCGUCUCCCUCUUCAAGUCCCCCUUCUGAGACUGGCUGCCUGUUGAGAACAAGUCACAGACAGAAUUCCACACACCAGAAUUCAGUAUUUUAGUCUAUGAUUGCCAUAUAAGUGUACAGAAAAUCUGUGAAAAUAAAUGAAUGACACAACUGUACCAAAAACUAUCAAAGUUUGUAUUCAAAUCUUAAAUAUUGCCAGGUUGGUUUUCACAGCUGUUUCACAAGGUGUUCAUUAUUGUAAGCUGUAAGGUAUCCUUUGAUGGUAUUUAUUUGUUCUACAUUAUUCAUUGUUGUAUCCUAGGACAAUACAAUAGAUGGAAGGAAAAAAAAGGAUCAUAAUAGAGGACUACGGAAAUGAUAUUAUUUCAGCGUAGAUAGGGGAAGUGUAGGUUAAAAUAAAACAUGACAGCCAGACAAGCCAGUGUAAUGAAUCAAACGGAUUUGCAUAUGAAUGGAGUGGAUAUUAGC